AGUGAACGCUGGCGGCGUGCUUAACACAUGCAAGUCGAACGAGAACGGAUUAUAGCUUGCUAUAAUUGUCAGCUAAGUGGCGCACGGGUGAGUAAUGUAUAGGUAAUAUGCCUCUUACUAAGGGAUAACAAUUGGAAACGAUUGCUAAUACCUUAUAUUCCUUUUUAUCAAAAGAUAAAAAGGGAAAGAUUUAUUGGUAAGAGAUUAGCCUGUAUUGUAUCAGUUAGUUGGUGGGGUAAUGGCCUACCAAGACGAUGACGCAUAACUGGUUUGAGAGGAUGAUCAGUCACACUGGAACUGAGACACGGUCCAGACUCCUACGGGAGGCAGCAGUGGGGAAUAUUGCACAAUGGACGAAAGUCUGAUGCAGCAACGCCGCGUGGAGGAUGACACAUUUCGGUGCGUAAACUCCUUUUAUAUAAGAAGAUAAUGACGGUAUUAUAUGAAUAAGCACCGGCUAACUCCGUGCCAGCCGCCGCCGUAA
rnacentral:rRNA from 1 species